GUUUAAUCAGGAAACUCUGCAGGAUAAUGACUCACCAGAAAGAAAACUGGACACUUCUCAAAGGAAAUACAACAAGCUCCUCCAACAUUUGCAAGCACGACUCCUGACGUAGACUGGAUUGUAUUGUGAUGUUUUUCUGUGCCGCAGUUGAGUCGAAAGACAGGAUGACCUGUCACCACCUCCGUUGUUAUUGUCAGUCACA